UUCACUUCAGAUUGAAUUGUGGUCACCAUUUCAGUUGCAUUACCCGCAUUUUCCUACACAGUCAAAAUGAAAUUAAGAAUUAAAAAGAAUAUAAGUAUACAAUAUCAUAUUGGAAUCUGUAAUAUGGUUAAUAUUUAAUGUACUAUGUUGAAUCAACAAUAUGGCUCCUAUGUGAAAAUUCAGAUGAUUAAUCUUGGUUAGAGUAGACCUUUCAUAUAGUAUCAUGAAGGCAUAAAUAAUAAACAUCACAAUUGUUCAAAAAGUCUUCAUCAUUCACUUCAGAUUAAAUUGUAGUCUCCAUUUCAGUUGCAUUACCCGUAUUUUCCUACACAGUCAAAAUAAAAUUAAGAAUUAAAAAGAAUAUAAGUAUACAAUAUCAUAUUGGAAUCUAUAAUAUGGUUAAUAUUUAAUGUACUAUGUUGAAUCAACAAUAUGGCUCCUAUCUGAAAAUUCAGAUGAUUAAUCUUGGUUAGAGUAGACCUUUUAUGCAAUAUGGUAUAAAGUUGCUUGUUAAUUCGAAGUUACAACUUACAUACAAGUUUGCAUAAUAAUACAGUAUUGAAUAUGAUGAACUCAUUUAAACAAAUUUCUGAAAAUAGGGAUGAAUACAGUAAAUAACUCAAGUAACAACUCAAGCACAGAAAGAAGUAUAAAAAUGAAAAUAGUAAGAAAAGUUCACAACUGAUAUACAAGUUCUUAAAACAAUGUUAAAAAUGAUAACACAUUUAAACACACAUUUCCGAAAAUAGGUAUGAUAACGGUAACUGGCUCAAUUGGAGCAGGUACUAGCUUUGACAUAAAAAUACUAACACAAGCAGAACUUUGGAAAAAAAAAAAAGGCCAGACAACAAUACAUCAAGAACCACUAUGCAAAUCUCAUGACAUAUGCCAACAAAGACUUAACAUUUGCAAGGGAAGUGUAACUGGAAUUAUAAUGCCCAAAGGCAUAAAAUAAUUAAAAUUAUUCUGCAUUCACAUCACAUACAUUUUACAUUCUAGAGCAAAGUAAAAGUGAAACACUAAUAAAGCAGUGAAGUAGUCAGAUUUCUUUCCAAUCCCAAAGAUAAGUACAGAAAAUAUCCCGCUAAGGAUGUAAAUGCCAAAAUGAAAGUAUCAUUGCAUAGUGUAUUUGAGUUGGAUAAAGUCUUCCAUACUUGUUGAGUUCAAAAAUAUUUGCAUAGAGUUUGUGAGUUGGAUAAUAAGUUUCACAAUGAAACACUAACCUCUUUUUUUUUAUAAUCAUGGUAUCCGGGCCAGCUUGCACGCACCUCGAUUAAUUUCACGGGAUAGUGUCACCUCCCACCAACAACAAGUAUUAGAUAACUCUAUCCACCAAGGCUUGGAAUGAUGGGAAAAAAUCACCUAGUGUUUUUGUUUUCAUCGGAAUUUUAACCUGAAACAUCAUGGUUUUCACUCACUUCAUUGACUGCUAUAUCACACCCCUGAUUGCUUGAAAUACUAACCUCUCUUCCUUGUUCAGAUAGUGUUAAAAUUCUCUAGUGCCUAAUCACAAGAAAAAGUCUUCUUCAAGAAUAGGAAAAAGUUAAAACAAAAAGGGAAAGUAGCACAUUGGAUGAUCAAGCAUCCGAGCAAAUGAAAUUAGGGUCGGCAAAAAAAAGAAUAGGACAAAUUAUAUUCCUACAUGUUCUAUUAGUAACAUUCCCUUGAGAUCUUACUGCGGAUUUUGCUUGUGGUUAAUCUUUCCCAAUUAAGAAUCAUACAAGAAUUUCUGAAAAUUUUGCAUACUGAGCUUUUUGUAUAGGUGUCCCCUGGAUAAUAAUGUAUGAAGAAAGGAGGGGAAAAGGCAAAACAACUUAAGAUCCUAGUCCUCUUAGAAAGGGAAUGGAUCAUUUUCCCGAUUAUUCAGAUCUUCACGGGUUUGAGACAAUCCUCUAUUCAAGUACUCUUUCUUCUACUCGAGCCUCGGCAUAGCCUAAACAUAUCUGUCAAAUGAAGAAUAUAUACUUGUGAAGUUAACACUAAGCAACCAUUGUGAAAAUAUCCAUAGUUUCAAACCCAAAUAGUAAUAUAACUCUAUGCUACCUUAGCAUAUUUGCUCCCUUGAUACUCAGAGAAUAAAUUCAGAACAAUCAAAAUUUACCUUUUCACAAAUCAAACCAUAAGUUGACCAUAGAAAUGUUGAAGAUGUCGGCUUCUCAUAUCCCGUGCACUACUCGCAUCAAUCAGAGAAGGUAAGUUAGAUUCGACAUACCCUCCUAUAUCUGAAUGUACAGACCAAAGUUGGUUGCACCAAUACAUUAAACAAGAUGUCGCAAUUGUUCUCGUUCCUGCACUUCUUCCUUCAUGUCUUGCAUUUCAUCAUUCACAGAAAAUAACUGAAUCUAAGCAAGAGUUCAUUUCAAAACAACAAGUGUAUCAAAUAUGAAUUUUCAAAAAAUGUUUAAUCAUUUGGGCAGUAAUAACAUUAAUUAAGCAAAGAGCUAAUGAAUGAAAAUAAU
rnacentral:lncRNA from 1 species